UUAAGCGACUAAGCGUACACGGUGGAUGCCCUGGCAGUCAGAGGCGAUGAAGGACGUGCUAAUCUGCGAAAAGCGUCGGUAAGGUGAUAUGAACCGUUAUAACCGGCGAUGUCCGAAUGGGGAAACCCAGUGCAAUUCGUUGCACUAUCGUUAACUGAAUACAUAGGUUAACGAGGCGAACCGGGGGAACUGAAACAUCUAAGUACCCCGAGGAAAAGAAAUCAACCGAGAUUCCCCCAGUAGCGGCGAGCGAACGGGGAGCAGCCCAGAGUCUGAAUCAGCUUGUGUGUUAGUGGAACGGUCUGGAAAGUCCGACGGUACAGGGUGAUAGUCCCGUACACCAAAAUGCACAGGCUGUGAACUCGAAGAGUAGGGCGGGACACGUGGUAUCCUGUCUGAAUAUGGGGGGACCAUCCUCCAAGGCUAAAUACUCCUGACUGACCGAUAGUGAACCAGUACCGUGAGGGAAAGGCGAAAAGAACCCCGGCGAGGGGAGUGAAAAAGAACCUGAAACCGUGUACGUACAAGCAGUGGGAGCACCUUCGGGUGUGACUGCGUACCUUUUGUAUAAUGGGUCAGCGACUUAUAUUCUGUAGCAAGGUUAACCGUAUAGGGGAGCCGCAGGGAAACCGAGUCUUAACUGGGCGUUAAGUUGCAGGGUAUAGACCCGAAACCCGGUGAUCUAGCCAUGGGCAGGUUGAAGGUUGGGUAACACUAACUGGAGGACCGAACCGACUAAUGUUGAAAAAUUAGCGGAUGACUUGUGGCUGGGGGUGAAAGGCCAAUCAAACCGGGAGAUAGCUGGUUCUCCCCGAAAGCUAUUUAGGUAGCGCCUCGUGAAUUCAUCUUCGGGGGUAGAGCACUGUUUCGGCUAGGGGGUCAUCCCGACUUACCAACCCGAUGCAAACUACGAAUACCGAAGAAUGUUAUCACGGGAGACACACGGCGGGUGCUAACGUCCGUCGUGAAGAGGGAAACAACCCAGACCGCCAGCUAAGGUCCCAAAGUCAUGGUUAAGUGGGAAACGAUGUGGGAAGGCACAGACAGCCAGGAUGUUGGCUUAGAAGCAGCCAUCAUUUAAAGAAAGCGUAAUAGCUCACUGGUCGAGUCGGCCUGCGCGGAAGAUGUAACGGGGCUAAACCAUGCACCGAAGCUGCGGCAGCGACACUAUGUGUUGUUGGGUAGGGGAGCGUUCUGUAAGCCUGCGAAGGUGACCUGUGAGGGUUGCUGGAGGUAUCAGAAGUGCGAAUGCUGACAUAAGUAACGAUAAAGCGGGUGAAAAGCCCGCUCGCCGGAAGACCAAGGGUUCCUGUCCAACGUUAAUCGGGGCAGGGUGAGUCGACCCCUAAGGCGAGGCCGAAAGGCGUAGUCGAUGGGAAACAGGUUAAUAUUCCUGUACUUGGUGUUACUGCGAAGGGGGGACGGAGAAGGCUAUGUUAGCCGGGCGACGGUUGUCCCGGUUUAAGCAUGUAGGCUGGUUAUCCAGGCAAAUCCGGAUAAUCAAGGCUGAGGUGUGAUGACGAGGCACUACGGUGCUGAAGUAACAAAUGCCCUGCUUCCAGGAAAAGCCUCUAAGCAUCAGGUAACAUCAAAUCGUACCCCAAACCGACACAGGUGGUCAGGUAGAGAAUACCAAGGCGCUUGAGAGAACUCGGGUGAAGGAACUAGGCAAAAUGGUGCCGUAACUUCGGGAGAAGGCACGCUGGUGUGUAGGUGAAGUCCCUGCGGAUGGAGCUGAGACCAGUCGAAGAUACCAGCUGGCUGCAACUGUUUAUUAAAAACACAGCACUGUGCAAACACGAAAGUGGACGUAUACGGUGUGACGCCUGCCCGGUGCCGGAAGGUUAAUUGAUGGGGUUAUCCGUAAGGAGAAGCUCUUGAUCGAAGCCCCGGUAAACGGCGGCCGUAACUAUAACGGUCCUAAGGUAGCGAAAUUCCUUGUCGGGUAAGUUCCGACCUGCACGAAUGGCGUAAUGAUGGCCAGGCUGUCUCCACCCGAGACUCAGUGAAAUUGAACUCGCUGUGAAGAUGCAGUGUACCCGCGGCAAGACGGAAAGACCCCGUGAACCUUUACUAUAGCUUGACACUGAACAUUGAGCCUUGAUGUGUAGGAUAGGUGGGAGGCUUUGAAGCGUGGACGCCAGUCUGCGUGGAGCCAACCUUGAAAUACCACCCUUUAAUGUUUGAUGUUCUAACGUUGGCCCCUGACCGGGGUUGCGGACAGUGUCUGGUGGGUAGUUUGACUGGGGCGGUCUCCUCCCAAAGCGUAACGGAGGAGCACGAAGGUUAGCUAAUCCUGGUCGGACAUCAGGAGGUUAGUGCAAUGGCAUAAGCUAGCUUGACUGCGAGCGUGACGGCGCGAGCAGGUGCGAAAGCAGGUCAUAGUGAUCCGGUGGUUCUGAAUGGAAGGGCCAUCGCUCAACGGAUAAAAGGUACUCCGGGGAUAACAGGCUGAUACCGCCCAAGAGUUCAUAUCGACGGCGGUGUUUGGCACCUCGAUGUCGGCUCAUCACAUCCUGGGGCUGAAGUAGGUCCCAAGGGUAUGGCUGUUCGCCAUUUAAAGUGGUACGCGAGCUGGGUUUAGAACGUCGUGAGACAGUUCGGUCCCUAUCUGCCGUGGGCGCUGGAGAAUUGAGGGGGGCUGCUCCUAGUACGAGAGGACCGGAGUGGACGCAUCACUGGUGUUCGGGUUGUCAUGCCAAUGGCACUGCCCGGUAGCUAAAUGCGGAAGAGAUAAGUGCUGAAAGCAUCUAAGCACGAAACUUGCCCCGAGAUGAGUUCUCCCUGAGACUUUAAGUCUCCUGAAGGAACGUUGAAGACGACGACGUUGAUAGGCCGGGUGUGUAAGCGCAGCGAUGCGUUGAGCUAACCGGUACUAAUGAACCGUGAGGCUUAACCUU
rnacentral:rRNA from 2 species